rnacentral:rRNA from 1 species
UGAGGAAUAUUGGUCAAUGGACGAGAGUCUGAACCAGCCAAGUAGCGUGCAGGAUGACGGCCCUAUGGGUUGUAAACUGCUUUUGUUUGGGAAUAAUCGACAUUACGUGUAAUGUUUUGCAUGUACCAUUCGAAUAAGGACCGGCUAAUUCCGUGCCAGCAGCCGCGGUAAUACGGAAGGUCCAGGCGUUAUCCGGAUUUAUUGGGUUUAAAGGGAGUGUAGGCGGUUGGUUAAGCGUGUUGUGAAAUGUAGAUGCUCAACAUCUGACUUGCAGCGCGAACUGGCUGACUUGAGUACACACAACGUAGGCGGAAUUCAUGGUGUAGCGGUGAAAUGCUUAGAUAUCAUGAAGAACGCCGAUUGCGAGGGCAGCUUACGGGAGUGUUACUGACGCUUAAGCUGGAAGGUGCGGGUAUCGAACAGG